UACGAAGGGUGCAAACGUUGCUCGGAAUUAUUGGGCGUAAAGCGCACGUAGGCGGCUUUGCAAGUCCCAUGUGAAAUCCCACGGCUCAACCGUGGAAGUGCAUGGGAAACUGCAGAGCUUGAGUACUUAAGAGGAUCGCGGAAUUCCCGGUGUAGAGGUGAAAUUCGCAGAUAUCGGGAGGAACACCAGUGGCGAAGGCGGCGAUCUGGGAAGAUACUGACGCUGAGGUGCGAAAGCGUGGGGAGCAAACAGG
rnacentral:rRNA from 1 species